ACUAAGCGUACACGGUGGAUGCCCUGGCAGUCAGAGGCGAUGAAGGACGUGCUAAUCUGCGAUAAGCGCCGGUAAGGUGAUAUGAACCGUUAUAACCGGCGAUUUCCGAAUGGGGAAACCCAGUGUGAUUCGUCACACUAUCAUUAACUGAAUCCAUAGGUUAAUGAGGCGAACCGGGGGAACUGAAACAUCUAAGUACCCCGAGGAAAAGAAAUCAACCGAGAUUCCCCCAGUAGCGGCGAGCGAACGGGGAGGAGCCCAGAGCCUGAAUCAGCAUGUGUGUUAGUGGAAGCGUCUGGAAAGGCGCGCGAUACAGGGUGACAGCCCCGUACACAAAAGCGCAUGUGUUGUGAGCUCGAUGAGUAGGGCGGGACACGUGGUAUCCUGUCUGAAUAUGGGGGGACCAUCCUCCAAGGCUAAAUACUCCUGACUGACCGAUAGUGAACCAGUACCGUGAGGGAAAGGCGAAAAGAACCCCGGCGAGGGGAGUGAAAAAGAACCUGAAACCGUGUACGUACAAGCAGUGGGAGCCCCACCACUAAGCCAGUGGUGAACUCCACAUACGCAUCCUUUGCUGAGGAUACGGUUAACGGAGCGCAAGCGACGUUCAACCGCAAAAGAAGCAGAGGGGGCUUAGUGGUGGGGUGACUGCGUACCUUUUGUAUAAUGGGUCAGCGACUUAUAUUCUGUAGCAAGGUUAACCGUAUAGGGGAGCCGGAGGGAAACCGAGUCUUAAUUGGGCGUUAAGUUGCAGGGUAUAGACCCGAAACCCGGUGAUCUAGCCAUGGGCAGGUUGGGCGUUAAGUUGCAGGGUAUAGACCCGAAACCCGGUGAUCUAGCCAUGGGCAGGUUGAAGGUUGGGUAACACUAACUGGAGGACCGAACCGACUAAUGUUGAAAAAUUAGCGGAUGACCUGUGGCUGGGGGUGAAAGGCCAAUCAAACCGGGAGAUAGCUGGUUCUCCCCGAAAGCUAUUUAGGUAGCGCCUCGUGAAUUCAUCUCCGGGGGUAGAGCACUGUUUCGGCUAGGGGGCCAUCCCGGCUUACCAACCCGAUGCAAACUGCGAAUACCGGAGAAUGUUAUCACGGGAGACACACGGCGGGUGCUAACGUCCGUCGUGAAGAGGGAAACAACCCAGACCGCCAGCUAAGGUCCCAAAGUCAUGGUUAAGUGGGAAACGAUGUGGGAAGGCCCAGACAGCCAGGAUGUUGGCUUAGAAGCAGCCAUCAUUUAAAGAAAGCGUAAUAGCUCACUGGUCGAGUCGGCCUGCGCGGAAGAUGUAACGGGGCUAAACCAUGCACCGAAGCUGCGGCAGCGANGUAAUAGCUCACUGGUCGAGUCGGCCUGCGCGGAAGAUGUAACGGGGCUAAACCAUGCACCGAAGCUGCGGCAGCGAACGUAUCACUUAAAGCGAUUCAGCGGGUUACGAUUGACGGAGCGAAGCGACGUCAAAGCGUAUACAAAGUCGAGUCGGUUUAAGGAUACGUUCGUUGGGUAGGGGAGCGUUCUGUAAGCCUGUGAAGGUGUGUCGUGAGGCAUGCUGGAGGUAUCAGAAGUGCGAAUGCUGUUGGGUAGGGGAGCGUUCUGUAAGCCUGUGAAGGUGGCCUGUGAGGGUUGCUGGAGGUAUCAGAAGUGCGAAUGCUGACAUAAGUAACGAUAAAGCGGGUGAAAAGCCCGCUCGCCGGAAGACCAAGGGUUCCUGUCCAACGUUAAUCGGGGCAGGGUGAGUCGACCCCUAAGGCGAGGCCGAAAGGCGUAGUCGAUGGGAAACGGGUUAAUAUUCCCGUACUUGGUGUUACUGCGAAGGGGGGACGGAGAAGGCUAUGUUGGCCGGGCGACGGUUGUCCCGGUUUAAGCGUGUAGGUGUGUGUUCCAGGUAAAUCCGGUUCACUUUAACACUGAGGCGUGAUGACGAGGCACUACGGUGCUGAAGCAACAAAUGCCCUGCUUCCAGGAAAAGCCUCUAAGCAUCAGGUAACAUCAAAUCGUACCCCAAACCGACACAGGUGGUCAGGUAGAGAAUACCAAGGCGCUUGAGAGAACUCGGGUGAAGGAACUAGGCAAAAUGGUGCCGUAACUUCGGGAGAAGGCACGCUGACAUGUAGGUGAAGUGAUUUACUCAUGGAGCUGAAGUCAGUCGAAGAUACCAGCUGGCUGCAACUGUUUAUUAAAAACACAGCACUGUGCAAACACGAAAGUGGACGUAUACGGUGUGACGCCUGCCCGGUGCCGGAAGGUUAAUUGAUGGGGUCAGCGCAAGCGAAGCUCCUGAUCGAAGCCCCGGUAAACGGCGGCCGUAACUAUAACGGUCCUAAGGUAGCGAAAUUCCUUGUCGGGUAAGUUCCGACCUGCACGAAUGGCGUAAUGAUGGCCAGGCUGUCUCCACCCGAGACUCAGUGAAAUUGAACUCGCUGUGAAGAUGCAGUGUACCCGCGGCAAGACGGAAAGACCCCGUGAACCUUUACUAUAGCUUGACACUGAACAUUGAGCCUUGAUGUGUAGGAUAGGUGGGAGGCUUUGAAGUGUGGACGCCAGUCUGCAUGGAGCCGGCCUUGAAAUACCACCCUUUAAUGUUUGAUGUUCUAACGUGGACCCGUAAUCCGGGUUGCGGACAGUGUCUGGUGGGUAGUUUGACUGGGGCGGUCUCCUCCUAAAGAGUAACGGAGGAGCACGAAGGUUGGCUAAUCCUGGUCGGACAUCAGGAGGUUAGUGCAAUGGCAUAAGCCAGCUUGACUGCGAGCGUGACGGCGCGAGCAGGUGCGAAAGCAGGUCAUAGUGAUCCGGUGGUUCUGAAUGGAAGGGCCAUCGCUCAACGGAUAAAAGGUACUCCGGGGAUAACAGGCUGAUACCGCCCAAGAGUUCAUAUCGACGGCGGUGUUUGGCACCUCGAUGUCGGCUCAUCACAUCCUGGGGCUGAAGUAGGUCCCAAGGGUAUGGCUGUUCGCCAUUUAAAGUGGUACGCGAGCUGGGUUUAGAACGUCGUGAGACAGUUCGGUCCCUAUCUGCCGUGGGCGCUGGAGAACUGAGGGGGGCUGCUCCUAGUACGAGAGGACCGGAGUGGACGCAUCACUGGUGUUCGGGUUGUCAUGCCAAUGGCACUGCCCGGUAGCUAAAUGCGGAAGAGAUAAGUGCUGAAAGCAUCUAAGCACGAAACUUGCCCCGAGAUGAGUUCUCCCUGAGACUUAAAGUCUCCUGAAGGAACGUUGAAGACGACGACGUUGAUAGGCCGGGUGUGUAAGCGCAGCGAUGCGUUGAGCUAACCGGUACUAAUGAACCGUGAGGCUUAACC
rnacentral:rRNA from 1 species